rnacentral:rRNA from 1 species
CACCGCGGUUAUACGAGAGGCCCAAGUUGACAAACACCGGCGUAAAGCGUGGUUAAGCCAAUACUCAUACUAAAGCCAAACACCUUCAAAGCUGUUAUACGCAACCGAAGGUAGGAAGUUCAACCACGAAAGUGGCUUUAAUUUGACCUGAAUCCACGAAAGCUAAGGAA